rnacentral:rRNA from 1 species
UACAGAGGGUGCAAGCGUUAAUCGGAUUUACUGGGCGUAAAGGGCGCGCAGGCGGCUCAUUUUGUCAGGCGUGAAAGCCCCGGGCUUAACCUGGGACUGCGUUUGAUACGGAUGGGCUAGAGUUCGGGAGAGGAGAGUGGAAUUCCCAGUGUAGAGGUGAAAUUCGUAGAUAUUGGGAGGAACACCGGUGGCGAAGGCGGGUCUCUGGGCAGUAACUGACGCUGAGGAGCGAAAGCGUGGGGAGCGAACAGG